ensembl:lncRNA
CCCAGGGUGGUUGCUAUGCUCUCUACGUCAUUGCUGUGUGCUUGUCCAUAAAGCACACCCAGGGUCGUAAAGCAUAGCGCCACCAGCUAACUUCCGAUUGGCUCCUUGUCACAAGGCAGGCAUCUGACUUUCUAGUGACUAACUUCUGAUGGGUUCCUUGUCACGAGACAGGCAUCUGACCUCUAAGUGACCAAGGAAGGUUUAUGGCAAGCACAUGUUUGGCUGUUAUGGCUGCCAAAAGGGAAGCUGGUUCCUUCAAGCCUUCAUCCAGUAGCUGAUGGAAGCAGAAGCAGACACGCACAGCUAAACACCGAGUUGAACUCUGGAAUUCACUUGCAGAGAGGGAGGAGUGAUGAGCAGGUGGAGAAACCCACAGAAACAGAUGACCUGUACAAGGGGGAGAUCAUGGACCCCAGACUCAUAGCUGGGAAACCAGCAUAGGACUGAUCCAGACGCCUUGAACGGUUUGAAAUGGAUUUCUUCCUCAGUAUAAUCACCCCAAAACACAGAAAUAGGACUCAUACUUAGCUAUUCAAAACUCCAAUGAAUGAAGUUUAGAGGAAGAUGCAUCCUGCUUAUGUCUGUAAAACAAGAAGCUUGAAAAUUACACAACUCGGAUUGGAAGUGGAUCCUUUACACACAGUUAAGUCUCAAUAUGUCUGUUGUUCUGCCUGACAAAGUCUCUGCAAUAUCACCAAAGACCUGGAGUCACAGCCUGAGCUCUUUCUCAGCAACUGAAAAGGUCCAGAGGCUGCAUAAGGCCGUGGUUUCUGGAGAUCUACAAAGAUGUCACCAAAUAACAAUCUAAACAACAGAGGAGAGGCUACCUUAAUUGCCCUCCCCUGAUAAUGAAAUUGAUGACUAAUUCAUAUGCCAUCCUAUAGCCUUCAUUCAGCAGCUGGUGGAAGUAGAAGCAGACACCCACAACUAAUCACUGAACUGAACUGGAAUCCAGUUGCUGAGAAGGAGGAGUGAUGAGCAAAGGAGUCCAAACCAGGCAGGUGAAACCCACAGAAACAGAUGACCUGAACAAAGGGGAGCUCUUGGUUCCCAGACUGAUAGCUGGGAAACCAGCAUGGUACUGUUACAGAUCCCAUGAAUAUGGUUGUCAGUGAGGAGACCUGGGAAAUCUAUGGGGCCUCUUGUAGCAGAUCAGUACUUAUCUCUAGCAUAGGAAUGGACUUUGGGAGCCCGUUCCACAUAGAGAUACUCCUUGAGCCUAGACUCACUGGGGCAGGGCAGGGCGAGGCAGGCCUUACCCCAAAGGAUAUGAUGGACUCUAAAGAUCCCCUAUCGAAGGCCUCACCCUCCUUGGGGAGCAGAAAGAGUAUGGGGUAGGUAGGGUGUUAGUUGGGGGGGGGGAAACAGAGGAGGAGCAGAGGGAGAGGGAACUGGGAUUGACAUGUAAAACAAUCUUGUUUCCAAUUCAAUUUAAAAAAAAUGGAGAAAAGAAAAAGAUUACCCCCCCCCGCAAAAAAAAAUGAGAAGAAACAGAAAUUCCAGAGUUCUUCAUAACAGGAGUGAACAAAAAGUGUCAUGCCCUCACCUCCAUGCCUUAUCAGUUGCAAUGGCCACUCUAUUUCUCUACACCUUAUUGUUUCUAAUUUAGUUUUUAUAAUAUUUCACUCUUGUUAAGUUUCUUACCCUAUGUGUCUCAACUCUUCUCCCUUCCAGUUUGAUGUGAUAUGCUCCGUGAAGCCACUAAGUGAUACCUUCAUGUGCAUAGUUGCAGGGCCAUCUACUGGAACAAGGACAGUCUUUUAGGGGUUGCUUCCCUGAAUAAAUUGAUUCCCCGUCAGCUGUCAAUUAUGAAUAGUUCUCACCUAAUGGUGGAACUUCAGGAGCCCCUCCCCCAUCCAUGCUUGGAUUUUGGCAGACUUGAUUAUGACUAUACAUGCUGUCACAGGCACUGUGAGUUCACAUGUGUAAUGACGCUCCCAUGCUGCCCCCCCAAAAUCCUGCUUUGUCACAUUUCUACUGUCUCUGCCUCUUACACUCUUUCCUACCCCCUUUCCACAAUGAUCUCUGAGCCUUAUUUGGGGGAGGUAGUAUAACAUAGAUGUCCCAUCCAGAGUUGAUCUCUUCUAAAUCUUUGUUUUCUGUGCAUUCACCGCUUUUGGGUUUCUGCAUCACUCAUCAUCUACUUAAAAAGAAGCUUAACUAAUGGGUGUUGAGAGAUGUGCUAAUUACUAAUUUAGCAGAAUAACAGUAUUAAAUUCUCAAACCCUGACAUGGAUUUUGAGAAAGGGAAAUACUAAAUUACAGUGUCUAGGAGUGUAAAUUGUUAAAGCCACUAUGAAAACCAAUGUGAGGUUUCCUCAAAAAUCUAAAAAUAGAUCUAUUGUAUGAUCCAGCUAGACCAAUCAUGACCAUAUUGCCAUGGGUCUUGACAGUGUCCUGCAGAGAUACUUGCUCACCCAUGUUUAUUGCUACUCUAUUCACAAUUAGGCAGAGGAGUGGAAACAGCCUACAUAUAUGUAAACUUUUGAAUGGAUAAUGAAUAUUUGGUACAUUUACACAAUGGAAUACUAUUCAGCUGUUAAGAAAAAGGAAAUUAUAAAAUCUGCAAGUAAAUGGAUGGAGCUAGAACUAAAAUUGUUAGUGGGUUACCCAGACCCUAAAAGACAAACACCAUAUACUGUAUUUCAUGAGUGUGUGUUAGCUUUGCAUUUUAGACGUAUGUAUGUUUAUAUUGGAAAACAUAUUGGAGGAAGGAAAUUAGUAAGAGGACAGAAGGAAGGAAUUUCAAGUGAAGGAGACAGAAUGCAGUGGUCCAAAGGAGUAAAAGAAAAUAAUAGAUAAGGAAUGGUUAAAUAGAGUCAGGAAUGAGAAGGCAGGGUAAUGAAUGGCAUAUGGGGAGGGAUAACUAACUAUAAUACCAUUGAAAAACCCAUACAGAAGACUACUACUAUUGAAGUUUCCUAAAUUAUAUUCAUAUAACUUCACACAAAAUAUUUUCUGUGUAGUUACUCUCUAAUGGGGAUAUAAUGCCUCUUCUAGACACCAGCAAGCAAAUAAAAAGCUCAGGUUAAGGUAUAGAUUAUUGCUUACCUCUAAAAUUCUUAAAUCUCUACUUUCACUCUUGGGAGUUAGCAUUACAUUGCCAUGAAGGAAGAGAGCAACGAAUGGUCAAAGACUCUGACAUACAGGGUUCAAUAUACCAUAAUCCCAUCAUUGAGUACAUGGGUCCAGAAUGAGAUCCAGCCACAAAUAUACUUUUAUAAUUCUUAAAUAAAAGAAUAUUCUUUCUAAUAUAUCAAGAUUGAAAUGUUUAGGAAAAGAACAGAGAAGAAAUAACUAACAAAUGAAUUCCAGCAAACAUUGUGUAUCACCACUUCCCAUAGGAAAAACAGGCAGACAUGUUUAUAAAAUCUAUAAUGAUGUCCAGAGUAUCUAAGAAUUUUAUCCACCUUUUUUUCACAUGAAAAAUGAGUUCCUUGGUCACAGUGGAAUAUUGGAAGUGUGUAACAGUAAGCAAGCCUGUCAUCAAGUUCCUGUCUUAAGGUCCUGCCUUGACUCCCAAUAAUAGUGGGAUGUGAUUUGGAAUUGCAGGCCAAAUAAACUACUUCUUACCCUGAGUUGUUUUGAUCAGUAUGUUUUAUUACUGUAACAGGUAUUAAACUAGGACAUCUUAGGGUACCAGUCAGCCAUCUGCAAAUCAGAGAGAACUUCAACAUGGACCAUCAACCUUCAGAACUGUGAAGAAAUAGUUGUAUGUUGCCUUAGCUUUCCUGACAGUGUUAGUUAUAACAACAUAAUCCCUUAGCAUUUCUAAGUACUUUAGACUGUUCAUAGACUGUGCAUUGUUCUGUUGGUAACAAUGAUGGGCUGAACUUCUAAAUGCUCACCCUAUAUUCGUUAGCUCAUUCAUAAUUAAGUUACAAAAGUUCUCUUAGUUUGUCUUCUCCAGUUAGAAUAACUGAAAAAAAGCUCAAAAUGACAAAAUAGAAGUCUGUUUAGGAGCUGGGCAUUGGUGGUGCACGCAUUUAAUCCCAGCACUCAGGAGGCAGAGUCAGGCAGAUCUCUGUGACUUUGAGGCCAACCUGGUCUCCAGAGCAAGUGCCAGGAUAGGCUCCAAAGCUACACAGAGAAACCCUGUCUUGGAAAAAAAAUAAAAAAGUCUGUUUAGGAAUUUUACUUACAUUUCCCAGGUUAGUUUUGCCAUCUGAUGUUGUCACAUUGGUGGUGGCUUUAUGUUUCUUUUAUAAAUAUCACAUAGAAAAAAAAAAAAAAAAAAAAAGCCUGAUGUUCAAUUCUGGAUUCAGGAAAAAGUAGAGCAUUAGCUAAUCAUUUAUAGGAGUUAUUCAGAGACCAAGUGGAAGAAAGAGAGGUAGCCUAAAGGUGUGAAAAUUAUUGCUAUGCAAGUUUAAACAGUUUUAUUAGUUUCUUUAAAAAUAUUCAGAAUUCUGGCACUGCUCUUUAUUGCAUUACCCAACCUAUUUAGGGAGGUUAACAGCCACCCACAUUAACACGCUCCAUAUAAUAUUUACUGCAAUAUGUGUCGGUUUCAAUCAGUUUCACCACUGUGACUGACUUGAAUGAUGUUAAAUGUCUCUUGUGGCCCUUUCUUCCAGAAUGUAAUAAGAGGAACUUCUUGCUAUAAAAGUAUGUGGAUUAAAGAAAGUGUUCAAACUUUGAACUCCUAAUUUUGAGGCCACUUUAAGGGUAUGAUGAAUUAUUAUGCAUCAACAUGUGCUCACACACCUGCCAGAUUCCACCUUGAGCCUGGGAUUUUUCUCAAGAGGCAUCAAACAUCAUUUCAGCUGUCAUCGUGUUUUUUCCCAAUGCAAGAGUCUAAUUUUGUCAGUCAUCUAUUAAUAGGGGUCUAAAUUAACUUUGGGUGACUGCAUCCUGUCACUGAUUCCUCAGUGUUCAGUGGAUUUGAAGCUGUCCUCAAAAG